CUGAACCAGCCAAGUAGCGUGAAGGAUGACUGCCCUAUGGGUUGUAAACUUCUUUUAUAAAGGAAUAAAGUCGGGUAUGCAUACCCGUUUGUAUGUACCGUAUGAAUAAGGAUCGGCUAACUCCGUGCCAGCAGCCGCGGUAAUACGGAGGAUUCGAGCGUUAUCCGGACUUAUUGGGUUUAAAGGGAGCGUAGGCGGGUUGUUAAGUCAGUUGUGAAAGUUUGCGG
rnacentral:rRNA from 1 species